AUGCAUUGGAGGGAGGGGACAUGACUCAGCCCUGUACGCCUGAUUCCCAGUCUGGUCACUCCUGCAGAGAAAGCCCUAGAGAGCCUGACCAGACCUUCAGCUGAGGACACAAGCUGCUGGGUCCCAGCAGCCUGACCUGAGGGACAGGGAAGAGCCUGGUAACGAUAGACCUGCUCAGUCAGGACUCCCUCACUACGGACAAGGCUGAGGGCCCAGGAGUCAUGAGAACCAACCACCCAAUACCCCUAUGAGCCCAUUUGCAGGAGAGGGAACCAAAGCCUGAGGAGGUUAAGUCCUUGGCCUGUGGUUGCAUUCUUGGUAGGGAGAGAAGCCAGCAUUCAGACCCUCAGGCUGCCAGGCCCCAGAGCUGAUCAACUCCUCCAUCCCCUCACUAAGCCCAGCUGGACACCCAUGGUGAGGUGCCCGCUCUCCUGCUAACUAGAGGCAGGCCCUUCCCUCCUGAGACAGAUGGGACCUCCCAAGCAGACUGUGGGUGAGCCUCAGCAAUACCUGGAGAGCCUCUUGGCUAACUUCCACCAAGAGCAGCCAUAGCCUCACGGCUGGGCUUCACAGAAAGGAGCCUGUGGGAAUUUCAGGAGGCACUACCCUCUCCUGCCAGCGCUCUGGAGUGUCGGACUUCCUGAAGGUCUCCCUCCCAGAAUGCCAAAGAGACAGGCAGGCCUUAGAUCCAGGGGAGCAACUGGGUGGCUUCUCACCUCCACCCUUCCUGGAAGGUGCAAUGCUCUGGACUUUCCUAAAGCGAGAUGUCCCUCAGGUGGGUCUUUAGAAUUUCUUUUUGCAUUGGUUAAUUCCUAAAAUAACUUGUCCACCUUCAGGUCACAUCUCAAUUUGUAAAACCCAAAUUCCAGCCAGGUGCAGUGAUGCCCACCAUGAUCCCAAGGACUCCAUUUCAGAGGCUGAGGUAGGAAGAUCACAAGUUCAAGGCCAGCUGGAACAACUUAGCAAGGCUGUGUCUUAAAAUAAAAAAGUAUAAAAAAAUGGCUAGAAAUGUAGGUCAGUGGUGGAACACUUCCCUGGUAUGCAUAGGACACAGGAUUCAACUCCCAGUACCAGGGAAAUUUUCAUUUUGUGAAUUUUUCAUGAAUUUUUUUCAUAUUUGGGGAGAAAAUACAUAUAUAUAU
rnacentral:lncRNA from 1 species